UACGAAGGGUGCAAACGUUGCUCGGAAUCAUUGGGCGUAAAGCGCACGUAGGCGGCUUCGCAAGUCGGAUGUGAAAUCCCUCGGCUCAACCGAGGACGUGCAUACGAAACUGCGAAGCUUGAGUACUGAAGAGGAUCGCGGAAUUCCCGGUGUAGAGGUGAAAUUCGUAGAUAUCGGGAGGAACACCCGUGGCGAAGGCGGCUCUCUGGGACGGUACUGACGCUGAGACGCGAAAGCGUGGGGAGCGAACAGG
rnacentral:rRNA from 1 species